AUUUUUCAUCGUACAUACAACCAGGAGGGGAAAGAAAUCACAACAACCCAGCAAGAGAUAUGAACGACCUGGACUGGACGCUUUGUUUCAUCACAAAGUGAAAAUCUCCUGGAAACAGAAAGGAGAUGGGGGAGGGACGAAAACUCCUGACAACUAAACUCUCGCUAAAAACUCGGCCAGAAACUCUCUACCGCCUCCUCACUCAGAUCAUCCAGAAAAAAUGGUGCCUUAAUUUGUUGUCUCCUCCCAAAGCAGCUAAGGGGCAACGGGAAAAACAUACAGCACAUGCCAUAGAGAUGACAGGAUGUAUCACGAGGUGCUGUGGUGUGUCUAUAUCUAACCAUGGAAUCGUUAAAAUUAAAAGUGCAAAAGUUGGACGAGAAGAGGACAGACACGUUCAUGCUUCUCGCCAAAGGUUAAACUGAGCAUUAUCGUUAUGAAAACAGCGGAUUUCAACAUUUUCCAUUUGUUUACGAAGUUUAUAUAUAUAUAAAUGAAACUCCAAAACGCUUAUUUUUAAAAAUACAAAUAGCCAAACUGUUAGUGAAAUUCAGAAAUAAUGAUGAAUUAAGAGGAAUGAGUGUGGCACUAUCAACAAUAAUGUUACAGUUCUAAGGAAAAUCCAUGCUCCAAACUACAAGGGAGCACAGGUUCAAGGUGAGAGGGGCAAAUUUUUCACACAGAUGGUGAUGGGUGCCUGGAAUGUACUGCCAGUGGAGGUGAUGGGAGCAGGCACGUUAGUAACGUUUAAGGCGUAUCUUGACAGACACAUGAAUGGAAGGUGAAAAGAGGGAUUGGAAUCGACGCAGGCUUGGUGGGCCAAAGGGCCUGUUUCUGUGCUGUAUUGUAUUGUAUAAAUGGUUCCAUCACUGAAUGUGUUUGUAUUUAAAUGAGGAACAGAGGGUGGGCUGUUGCAUUCUUGACAUUUUUUUAGAACUCCCAAUAGUGAAAAAGAGAUAGGUAAACAAUUUAGUUGCCAGAUUUCAUUGAAAAUGAAAAAAAAGUUAAAUAAAAUAUUUUACUUUUGUCUUUUU